rnacentral:lncRNA from 1 species
UUCCCCCUCCCCCCAAUCUCUCGACUCUCAUCUCUCUCGGCAGAUCGGCGACCGGCGCAGCGGCGAGUCGUCCUUCCGGCGAGCCUAACAGCAGCAGCAGUGCACGCAAGGAGCGCUGCCUCCUCUCCCCUCCGGCCCUCCCCCAAUCUCUCGACUCUCAUCUCUCUCGGCUGAUCGACGACCGGCGACCGGCGCAACGGUGAGUCGUCCUUCCAGCGAGCCUAACAGCAGUAGUAGUGCAGCACAGAGUCGCUGCGCCGCCGCCUUUGGCUCUCCUUUUCUAGGCCCGGCGGCCGGCGCGUUAGCAGCAGCAUCUACCACCACCGAUUGCCCUUUUCCCAGCCCGGCACGACUGCUCUCCUUUUCUUAGCCCGGCGCAACUGCUCUCCUUCCUCGGUGCAACUGGUAAUCGAGCUUAAUCGAGUCGAGCUCGAGCUCGCGAAUAUGGCAUCGAGUCGAGCUCAAAAAAAUCAAGCUCGGCCGAGUCGAGCUCGAGCUCGAGCUUUAUGAAAACAACCGAGUUCGAGUCUGAGCAGAGCAAUACUCGACUCGACUCGGCUCAUUUACACCCCUAC